AUGCUAGACGCCAAAUGAAGUUCAAGGCGUUGUGAAUCGCGAAAUGGGGCGAAUCGGAACGGAUCGGAUCGGAUCGCAUCGGAACGUCCCGGACAACAACAGCAACAACAAAACGAUAAAAAAAAAAAAGCAGACGAAAUCGAACAGAAACUGAACAGAACAGAACUGAAAAGUACCUCAAGGCAGCGACGCGCACGUCUGAAUAUGAGAGUGAGUGCAACAACAACAAAGAGCAGCGCUCGCAAAAAAAAAGCUGCAAAAUAAAAACAAAUCAGACACUUUUGUGAUGGAUUAGAGUCGCAGCGAGUCGAGAGUCGAUAAGUCCGCGGAACUGGACUUUGACACCUGCCUGGCCUGCCACUGGCCUACGUGUCGUAUGAGCGAUCGACCUGCCACUGACCCACUGACUUCCUACAACAACCUACACUUGGUUUAUUGCUCCAACUCUUGACGCCAGGCGCCCAUCAAAACUAACUUUCAAACCUAACUCAUUCAUUAAAAAAAGGAAGGGAGAGGUAAAACAUUUCAAGAUAGAUGUUUUUUUUUGGCGUUGCAUGAUGAUGAUGAAAUAGCGCAGCUAAUCAGUCUGGUAUCGUAAAACUCGCGCAGUUGGGAGUUCAUUGAUACCGUAAUUUCACAACAUUUAGCAAAUAAUCUAUAGAUAAUGAAUCUCUCACUCUAUAUUUAAUUUGUUAUUUAUACUUAGUAAGUUUGUUGGGUAUCCGAAUUGGUAUUCGAUUCCUAUUAACCGACUGUAAUCAAUGUCCUCGCAUUAGCCGUGUUAUCAUUAUUGAAUUCGUUCCACUUCUUUUCAAUGGAAAUCAAACUUCAGUUGUGCAUCAGUUUGACGGGCGGAAACCAUAACUGUAAAACGAUACAAUCGACCCAUUUGUCGAUAUGAUUCACCCAGGGUAAACACUAAAAAUAAAUAAACUUGCGACAUUUGCCAACUUUGCAGCAAAGUUUUGCAUUUCUUUGCAGUCAGUUGCGAAUUGCAAGUUUUGCUGGAACUGCAUUAAAAAAAGAGUGAAUUACUCUUAUUACAAUUGCUUGAUUCCACUUUUGGAUUA